UACGUAGGGUGCAAGCGUUGUCCGGAAUUAUUGGGCGUAAAGAGCUCGUAGGUGGCCUGUCGCGUCGGCUGUGAAAACUCGGGGCUCAACUCCGGGUCUGCAGUCGAUACGGGCAGACUGGAGUUCGGCAGGGGAGACUGGAAUUCCUGGUGUAGCGGUGAAAUGCGCAGAUAUCAGGAGGAACACCGGUGGCGAAGGCGGGUCUCUGGGCCGAUACUGACGCUGAGGAGCGAAAGCGUGGGGAGCGAACAGG
rnacentral:rRNA from 1 species